rnacentral:rRNA from 1 species
UACAGAGGGUGCGAGCGUUAAUCGGAAUUACUGGGCGUAAAGCGCGCGUAGGCGGCUUUGCAAGUCGGGUGUGAAAUCCCCCAGGCUUAACCUGGGAACUGCAUUCGAGACUGCAUUGCUAGAGUAUGGGAGAGGGAAGUGGAAGUUUCGAGGUGUAGCGGUGAAAUUCGGUAGAUAUUGGGAAGGAACACCGGUGGCGAAGGCGGCGAGCUGGUCCAUUACUGACGGCUGAGGCGCGACAGCGUGGGGAGCAAACAGG